rnacentral:rRNA from 1 species
AUGUCUCCGCCAAUUCCACCGCCACCACCACCGCUGCCCGCCAACUCCUCCACCACCGCCGCCUCUGCGCCGGGCGUCACGGCCUCGCUCUCGGCGGGCACCACUGCGUCGCUCUCAACGCCGGUCCUAACGGCACCCGGCACCACGCCGGGCCAAGGGCAGCCACAGGCCCCCGUCCAACACUCGUCGCCGCCAUCACCUCCCCCGCAGCCGCAACAGUUCACGCCGGAGGCCAUGGCGGGCGUCCUCAACGACCUCGUCACCGCGGUUCAAGGGAUCCGCCUCUACCUGGCAGGUCCGUACGGGCCGCCCCCACCACUCCAUCCAGCCAUGGCCGCGGGUCAGCAGGCGCUUCCGUGGUACUCGGCAUCGGGGGCCAUCACCGGACUCCAUCCAGCCAUGGCCGCGGGUCAGCAGGCGCUUCCGUGGUACUCGGCACCGGGGGCCGUCACCGGAGGCUACCCGGCGCUCCCCGCCCCAGCGGCCGCACGGCCGCCUUGGGCGCAGUGGCUGCCGCAGAUCGCGCCGGCAGCCCCGCCACUUCUCGCCACCACGGGGCCGCAGUGGCCCACCUGGACCGCGCCGGCCGCGCCGUCCUCUGUNNNNCCCUACCUUCCAGCGGCCUCGGAGCAGGGUCCUCCACCGGCCCCGCCCAGCCCUAACCUGGGCACCGGCGCCUCGGAGCAGGGCCAGACCCAGCAGCUUCUUCCGGCGUCACCGCCGGCCCCCACGCCGCAGGCGCCGGUGCAGCUCCACCAGGCGCCGCCGCCAUCGACAGUACCACCACCCGCGCCUAGGGCUACGGGUCGGCCCCUGCACCAGGUGCAGUUUCCACCGUCACCAUCGCCGAUCCCCGCUUGGGCGACCGGCUCGUCUUCGGGGCCGGUCUACUCCACGGCGCCGGAACACCCGACGCCCUCCCUGCGGUUUGAUCACCCCUCCAGCUCGGCGAACUACGCCCCGGCGCUUCCCGACCCAGCAUACGCGCCGGCGGCAACUACGGCCGCCCCCGGGCACGGCGGGCCGACACCCCCUCGCUUCGCCAAACUGGACUUCGCCACCUACGAGGGCAUGGAGGACCCCCUCAACUGGCUCAACCAGUGCGAGCAGUUCUUUCGAGGGCAGCGGACGCUCGCUUCGGAUCGCACCUGGCUCGCGUCCUAUCAUCUUCGAGGCGCAGCGCAGACCUGGUACUACGCCCUCGAGCAGGACGAGGGCGGCAUGCCACCAUGGGAGCGCUUCCGGGAACUCUGUCUCCUCUGGUUCGGGCCUCCUAUCCGCGGGAGCCGACUGGCGGCCCUCGGCCGCUUACCCUUCACAUCCACGGUGCAGGACUACGCCGACCGCUUCCAGGCCCUGGCGUGCCACGCGCCGGGCGUCUCCGCAACUCAGCGCGCCGAGUUAUUUGUGGGCGGUCUACCGGACCAUAUCCGCGUGGACGUGGAGCUUCGGGGACCCCAGGAUCUCCAGUCGGCCAUGUAUUACGCCCGCGCAUUCGAGCGCCGCGCGGUGGCCAUCCAGCAGGAAUCACCGUCCCAGACUGCUGGGUCGCUACCCGGACCGGAUUCCGCGCAGGGUCGGCCUGUGCAGGCUUCUGCGGCACCCCUCGCCGCGACCGCGGGGCGCCCGUUCCGCCGGCUCACCCCAGCUGAGAUACUCGAGCGUCGCUGCCAAGGGUUGUGCUUCAACUGCGACGAACCCUACAAGCCCGGCCACGCCUGCCCGCGACUCUUCUACCUGGAGGUGGCAGACUACAUUCCGGAGGACGCCGUCGCCGCCGACCUGGCCGCCCCAGAUGUCGAGAAGGUGUUUGACGCUGGUUGA